GAAAUCACUCAAACCUGACUGUUUCAAAACACACUGAUGUACAAAUAGGUUGAUUUACAUCCUCAAUAUUCAAUAGUUAACCUCCCUUACAAGUUACAACCUCUAUUCAUUCUAUUUCCUCUCGAAUACUGGACAACCUACAGACAUGACUUCAUCAUGAAAUGAUCAACGCAUAUUUCUAACUAACACCAAGCAGCAAUGACUUUGUUAUGAAUCAGAAACCAAAUGCAACAUUCACAAUAAACAGAUAAUCAAAUUACUCGCUGCAUAUCAUAACUUAGUUAAAACUGCAUUAGGUUAUAAACUCAAUCUGUUUAACAAAGCAGCUUAAUAUUUAUAUUAAGACUUAUAGUUUCAAUGGAAACUAAUGCUAUAGUUAUUCUAAAAGUGGAUUAGCCCUACACAUUAUUAGUAAGUAGAGCUGAUGCUGACCAACAAACAUUUCAGGACCGAACCUGUUCAACACACGAUAUCAUUGUGUUGCUCUAUGACACAACACACACUUCCUUAUGAUGUCACAAAGUUCUCAGUACUUCAGAUGUGAUGCAACAGCAGGGAGGUUAGAGUGGGUACAAGGCCAAACUUAUUGAUCGGUAAAAGUUUGCGUUUUUUCUUAUAGUCAAAAGUAAUCGCAUCUGAACAGUCUACGCAAAUGUAUUGAUUUUAUAUUCAAUUUUAGCACAGAAUUUCGAUUAUUAUACUGACAAAGAAAAAACUUAAAAAUAAGUUUGGAUAAACAGUUUUCUUAACAAAAACUAAAAAAAUAAGCGAAUUAUACAUAAAUCCCAGCCUUACUGGUGAGGUUUUCUCAGGUUAUGCUUUUAAAAUAUAUCUACGGGUCUGUACGUUUUAGAGCAGUGUAAACCUAUUACAACAGUCAGGGAUGCAGAGUUGAGUGGUUUUUACACAAAAUUAUUGUUAGUGUGUUAAAAGUGUGCACAAGACUGGGACAACAUGUGACUUUGGCAAAAAAAUGUUCCCCAAAAUUGAAAAUAAGACUAAGCAUAUAUUCUGCAACGAAAAUGAAUCAACACAAAUCUUGGGUUUUCCUGAUAACGCAAUCCAGCUCGAUCCGCAGCGUCACGUGACAGGACUUGAGAACAACAACAUUUGGAGAACGCUGCAGUCAAGCAUCGGCAAUGAGAGCAAAAUAUCGAGACCGUGAAAAUUUGCGACGGUUUACAAUGAACAACGAAUCGUACGCGAAGCAACGAAUACU